rnacentral:tRNA from 1 species
GAGGGUAUAGCUCAGUGGUAGAGUGGGUGCCUAGCAAGCACAAGGUCCUGGGCUCAAACCUCAGUACCUGUA